rnacentral:tRNA from 1 species
ACCUGGGUGGCUUAGUAGGUUGAGCAUCUGACUUUGGCUCAGGUCAUGAUCUCACGGUUCGUGGGUUCGAGCCCCAUGUCGGGCU